GACGGUCUUGCUGUCACUUAUAGAUGGAUCCGCGCUGCAUUAGCUAGUUGGUAAGGUAACGGCUUACCAAGGCAACGAUGCAUAGCCGACCUGAGAGGGUGAUCGGCCACACUGGAACUGAGACACGGUCCAGACUCCUACGGGAGGCAGCAGUAGGGAAUCUUCCGCAAUGGGCGAAAGCCUGACGGAGCAACGCCGCGUGAGUGAUGAAGGUCUUCGGAUCGUAAAACUCUGUUAUUAGGGAAGAACAUAUGUGUAAGUAACUGUGCACAUCUUGACGGUACCUAAUCAGAAAGCCACGGCUAACUACGUGCCAGCAGCCGCGGUAAUACGUAGGUGGCAAGCGUUAUCCGGAAUUAUUGGGCGUAAAGCGCGCGUAGGCGGUUUUUUAA
rnacentral:rRNA from 1 species